AUGAGGAUAGCGAGAGACACCUUUUAAGGUGGCCGAAGGAGCAAUAUGAAGUGGGUCACGGCUUCAUAAAAUCUCUCAGGCAAAUUAAUCGCUAUUUGAUG
rnacentral:ncRNA from 2 species